GAGGGAGGGGCCAGAAUCUGCUGGAAAGGUGGGGCCAGUUCAUCCCGGAGUGAGCGUCGCGGGUGUCCCCAGCAAUUGCGUGAUUGAGCUGCUUGGAACUGUGGCCUUCCCAGAUGGCUGUGUGCCGCUCCGUUUAAAGUUGUCCAGGGAAGGGACUAAGGAGUAAGAGGUGCAGCCCUCCUGUGCUUUUGCCUGCGUCACAAUUGCGAGGGAGGAAGGAUUAUCGUUUUUCCCGUGAGACCCAGGCACGAAGUGCUUCGCAUACUGUACUGGUUCAUUUUCCAAUAAGACAUCCUUGGAGAGACAGAGGACUUCUGAGGACCUUCCCUAUCCCAGCCUUCAAAGUUCCCAAAACUAGUGAGAAGGAGAGCUGUAAUCCCAGAAGGCUUGACUCCAGGGCCAGUCUGAAAGGCUUUGUUGCAAUACUUUUCUGGACAGUAAACCAUGAGGCCAGMAGGAUAAGAAACUGGAGGAUCCUCAGCUGAGGCUUUGUGACCUUGCAAGGCAACACUUGAAGCAAGACUCCAGGAGCACAUGCCUGACAGAUCUGACCUUAUAAAAAGGAGUGGCUACAGGUGAGAUGGCGCACACCUGCAGUCCCCGAGACUCAGGAGGCUGAGGCAGGAGGAGUCCUUGAGUCUAGGAGUUGGAGAUUAACCUGAGCCCAGUAGCAAGACCUCAUCUCAGGGGAAAAAAAGACAAAAAAAAGGAGCAAUUUUUCUUUAACCAAAAACUCCUUAGACAAAGUAAGGAGAUAAAGACCGGGAGGAAAAUAAGGAAACAUAAAUGCUGUAAAAAACAAACAU